rnacentral:rRNA from 1 species
UACGUAGGGGGCAAGCGUUGUCCGGAUUUAUUGGGCGUAAAGCGCGUGUAGGCGGCCAGGUAGGUCCGCUGUGAAAACCCGAGGCUCAACCUCGGGACGUCGGCGGAAACUAUUCGGCUAGAGUCCGGAAGAGGAGAGUGGAAUUCCUGGUGUAGCGGUGAAAUGCGCAGAUAUCAGGAAGAACACCUAUGGCGAAAGCAGCUCUCUGGGACGGUACUGACGCUGAGACGCGAAAGCGUGGGGAGCGAACAGG